GACGAACGCUGGCGGUGUGCUUAACACAUGCAAGUCGAACGGUAAGGCCCUUUCGGGGGUCCACGAGUGGCGAACGGGGGCGUAACACGUGAGUAACCUGCCCUCAUCUCUGGGAUAACAGUCGGAAACGGUUGAUAAAAAUGGAUAUGAGCUUGCAAGGCAUCUUGUGGGUGGGAAAGAUUUUUUGGGUUGGGGCUGGACUCGCGGCCUAUCAGCUUGUUGGUGAGGUAGUGGCUAACCAAGGCGUCGGCGGGUAGCCCGCCUGAGAGGCCGACCGGCCGCAUUGGGUCUGACAUACGGCCCCACCGCCUACGGGAGGCAGCAGUGCGGAAUCUUGCUCCAUGCACGGCAGUCUGAUGCAGCAACGCCGCGUGCGGGAUGACGGCCUUCGUGUUGUAAACCGCUUUCAAUUGUGACGAAGCUUUUUGUGACGGUAGCAGUAGAAGAAGCACCGGCUAACUACGUG
rnacentral:rRNA from 1 species